rnacentral:rRNA from 1 species
GACGAACGCUGGCGGCGUGCUUAACACAUGCAAGUCGAACGAUGAAGAAAAGAAUCGAAGCUUCGGCAGAAAUUCAUUUCGGAUUAGUGGCAGACGGGUGAGUAACGCGUGAGCAACCUACCUCUUACAAAGGGAUAGCCUCGGGAAACCGGGAUUAAUACCAUAUAACAUUGCGACGAAGCAUUUCGAUGCAAUCAAAGCUACGGCGGUAAGAGAUGGGCUCGCGUCCCAUUAACCGGAUGGUGAGGUAACGGCUCACCAUAGUGACGAUGGGUAACCGGCCUGAGAGGGUGAACGGUCACACUGGAACUGAGACACGGUCCAGACUCCUACGGGAGGCAGCAGUGGGGAAUAUUGCACAAUGGAGGGAAGUCUGAUGCAGCGACGCCGCGUGAGUGAUGAAGGAAUUAGUUUCGUAAAGCUCUGCUAUAUGGGAAGAAAAGGACUGUACCAUAGGAGAAAGCUCCGGCUAAAUACGUG